UUGUAAAAGCUGUCUGAUUAUUAAUAAAACUAUUUACAUUUUACUGUGAAAUUGAACUGUUUUUUGAUUUAAUUUGUACUUUGAUAUCAUUAGUUAAUUGGACCAUUUCACUGAGAAUAUUAAUCUUCAAUUACACCUUUUAAUUAAACCUAUAUUCUAGAUCUCACAUAUUCUAUGCUCGGCUCAAUUCAUCGACUAACAUUGUAAGAUAAUCCGGAAUCAAUCUGUGACUCAAGAACGUUAAGCAUGGCAAAGUGGCGGGAUAAUGUCUUCACCUGAUUCAUACAACAUUAAUUUAGACGAUUCAAACAAAUUGGAUUUUAAACAAUUGACUACUGAUACUGAACUUCUCUAACCUUGACUCAUUUAAUUGUCACUUUGAAUGUCUUCAUUUACUCAUUUAUUGGUGAUUUAAACAUCAAACUUCCCACUUUUGAGUCAUUUUUGGUAAACAAAGUUGCCCGUCAAAUGUUUCAUUGUUCAAAUUUGUGUAAAAUUGAUUUAAUUAGGACAUUCAGGUGCCACACUUGAACAUGCCAUCUAAAUGGUACUAAACCAUUCAUUUUAAUAAUGUAGUUGAUUGUCAUGAUACAUUUGAAUUGAAUCGUUUUAUACUGCAGUUUUUUAUGAUAUUUGUACAUUAAUCAUAAAAGACUGUAUGACUUUCAAAUGUUGAACAAUCAACCCUGAAUUAAAAUGAAUUAAAAUGAUAAUUAAGAUGGCUAUCUGUUGUUGGCAAAAGAUGAAACCAAUUGAAAUGUAAAUGAAGCAAUCAAAAGUGUAAAUAAAUGAGUGAAACUAUUAAUAAUAACAAUAAUAAUAAUAAGUAUCAUCACCAUCAACAUCAACCAAAUAAUAGAAGUAAAUUAGAAAGAUUUAGUUUCCUCACUGACCUGUUAUGGUGAUUAGAUGUUGAUUGUUAUUGAUGUUGAUUAUAAUGAUGAUGGUUAUGAUGAUGAUGAUGUCGAUGAAACUAAUAAUCUAAUUUAGUUUCUUGUUCCAGUCAACAUAUUAAUGACAUUAAAUCCUUAACGAUGAACACAUUAAAAUUCAAUCUCUUUCUGAUCAACAAUUAGAAACAAAUAAAGGUUAAAUUUGCAAUUGAGAAGCAACUAUUUUUAAACAUUUUUUA